rnacentral:rRNA from 1 species
ACCUACGGGGCGCAGCAGUGGGGAAUAUUGCACAAUGGGCGAAAGCCUGAUGCAGCAACGCCGCGUGAAGGAAGACGGUUUUCGGAUUGUAAACUUCUAUUCUUAGUGAAGAAUAAUGACGGUAACUAAGGAGCAAGCCACGGCUAACUACGUGCCAGCAGCCGCGGUAAUACGUAGGUGGCAAGCGUUAUCCGGAUUUACUGGGUGUAAAGGGAGCGUAGACGGCAGCACAAGUCUGGA